ACGCCGUCACGCUACUAGCCAAAUUUUUUCUUUAGGAAGUUAUCUAACGCGACUUUGUCCUGACAGAAAGAUAAGAAUAACCGUUCGCAAUACUGUGGAAUGUUGUUUUCAUUAUAUAAAAAAAGCACUGAACGUAUUCACGAACAGUGCUUUU
rnacentral:misc_RNA from 1 species